CUCCAAUCGUCAGGUUUCUGCCGCUUUGCGGAACCUUUUUUAAAUCUUGAAUCGGCCUGUUUACGGGAGCGAAUACAAACAUUGUGAAUAAUCCGGCUCGGUCAGAACUGUGCUUUAAAAAAACGCAAACAAAAACAACAAACGGUGACACGGGAUAUUUACUGCUAUGAAGUACAGCGCUCUGUGAAAUCGGUGAACAAAACCUCUUUGUGGUCGCCAUCUGCCGCCUCACUGCGCCGCUCUCUCUCUCCUGACCUAUUUCGGCGUGAAGACACUUUUCAAGUAACCUGCUUUGCUUCACAUGUGCCAAAAGUACUGGAACAUCCUUGCGUCUGCACCAACCAACCUUCCACACACGCGCACACACACACGUCGCUGGAGCGACCUCCCUCCCAGACACAACAACAACGCCUCCCGAAUGUGAAGAAAACAAGCUCUCACCUGGAUCGUCUGGACGUGUGGCGCCUGUAUGACGGAGGUCUGCGGGGCCUGGAUGACCCCCUGGACCUGCACCGUCCGACCGUC